AGUGACGUACGGGUGCGUAACACGUAUGCAACCUACCUUGUACAGGGGUAUAGCUCGGGGAAACUCGAAUUAACACCCCAUAACAUAAUGAUGUGGCAUCACAUUAUUAUUAAAACUCCGGUGGUACAAGAUGGGCAUGCGUCUGAUUAGUUAGUUGGCGGGGUAAUGGCCCACCAAGACGAUGAUCAGUAGGGGACCUGAGAGGGUGAUCCCCCACACUGGCACUGAGAUACGGGCCAGACUCCUACGGGAGGCAGCAGUAGGGAAUAUUGGUCAAUGGAUGCAAGUCUGAACCAGCCAUGCCGCGUGCAGGAAGAAGGCGUUAUGCGUUGUAAACUGCUUUUGCCAGGGGAUAAAAUAACUGUGCGCAGUUAAUUGAAGGUACCUGGUGAAUAAGCCACGGCUAACUACGUGCCAGCAGCCGCGGUAAUACGUAGGUGGCAAGCGUUGUCCGGAUUUAUUGGGUUUAAAGGGUGCGUAGGUGGCCCUGUAAGUCAGUGGUGAAAUAUCUCAGCUUAACUGAGAGGGUGCCAUUGAUACUGCAGGGCUUGAGUACAGAUGAGGUAGGCGGAAUUGACGGUGUAGCGGUGAAAUGCAUAGAUAUCGUCAAGAACACCGAUAGCGAAGGCAGCUUACCAAGCUGUAACUGACACUGAGGCACGAAAGUGUGGGGAUCAAACAGGAUUAGAUACCCUGCUAGUCCACACUGU
rnacentral:rRNA from 1 species